rnacentral:rRNA from 1 species
CCCUUAGAUGUCCUGGGCCGCACGCGCGUUACACUGAUGCAUUCAACGAGCUUAUAACCUUGGCCGAGAGGCCUGGGCAAUCUUGUUAACGUGCAUCGUGAUAGGGAUAGAUUAUUGAAAUUAUUAAUCUUGAACGAGGAAUUCCUAGUAAACGCAGAUCAUCAAUCUGCAUUGAUUACGUCCCUGCCCUUUGUACACACCGCCCGUCGCACCUACCGAUUGGAUGGUCCGGUGAAGCCUCGGGAUUGUGGUUCUUGCCGCUUUAUUGUGGCGUGACCGCGAGAACUUGUAUAAACCUUAUCAUCUAGAGGAAGGUGAAGUCGUAACA